rnacentral:rRNA from 1 species
AUUGAACGCUGGCGGCAGGCCUAACACAUGCAAGUCGAACGAGUGGCGGACGGGUGAGUAAUGUCUGGGAAACUGCCUGCUGGAGGGGGAUAACUACUGGAAAUGGUAGCUAAUACCGCAUACCAUCGGAUGUGCCCAGCUGGGAUUAGCUAGUAGGUGGGGUAACGGCUAACCUAGGCGACGAUCCCUAGCUGGUCUGGCAGGAUGACCAGCCACACGGGAACUGAGACACGGUCCAGACUCCUACGGGAGGCAGCAGUGGGGAAUAUUGCACAAUGGGCGCAAGCCUGAUGCAGCCAUGCCGCGUGUAUGAAGAAGGCCUUGGGGGUGUAAAGUACUUUCAGCGGGGAGGCGUUACCCGCAGAAGAAGCACCGGCUAACUCCGUGCCAGCAGCCGCGGUAAUUC